UAACGCCACAAACCUCAGCGUAUGAUAACAGAACAGUAACAAAAGGGCUUUCAAAUCGAAACGCUUACCGAACCGAAGAAAGAACGGUUGAACCGAAAUAGCGGCGGUCUCCGAACCGGUUCGGCGGCAACCCGGCAGUCAGCCCCAAGCAGCAAUGAUGACCAAAAAAAU